rnacentral:rRNA from 1 species
UGCCAGCAGCCGCGGUAAUACGUAGGAACCGAGCGUUGUCCGAAUUUACUGGGCGUAAAGAGCGCGUAGGCGGUCUAUUAAGUCUCAUGUGUAAUCUCCCGGCUCAACUGGGAGGGGUCAUGGGAUACUGGUAGACUUGAAGAUAGCAGAGGAAAGCGGAAUUCCCGGAGUAGUGGUGAAAUGCGUAGAUACCGGGAGGAACACCAGAAGCGAAGGCGGCUUUCUGGGUUAUUCUUGACGCUGAGGCGCGAAAGCGUGGGGAGCGAACCGGAUUAGAUA